rnacentral:piRNA from 1 species
UGAUUAUUCGAAAGAAGUGGU